UUGGACGCAGCGGCAUACACCUUGUUGAAGACGUGGUGACUGGCGCCCAAA
rnacentral:tRNA from 1 species